rnacentral:rRNA from 1 species
UACGAAGGGGGCUAGCGUUGCUCGGAAUCACUGGGCGUAAAGGGUGCGUAGGCGGGUCUUUAAGUCAGGGGUGAAAUCCUGGAGCUCAACUCCAGAACUGCCUUUGAUACUGAAGAUCUUGAGUUCGGGAGAGGUGAGUGGAACUGCGAGUGUAGAGGUGAAAUUCGUAGAUAUUCGCAAGGACACCAGUGGCGAAGGCGGCUCACUGGCCCGAUACUGACGCUGAUGCACGAAAGCGUAGGGAGCAAACAGG